GGCCGGGCAGGGAGCAACCUCGGGGGGCCUGCCUGCCUCACAUAGCUGCUCCCGGGGCGCGGACUCCGGCUGCUUCUGCUCGCGGCCUUGCAAGCACCCGAAGCUCCCAAACUUCAUUUGGAAAGAUUUUUCUUCUGUUUGGUGUCACCAGUGACUUACUGGCCCAGAGGCCUUUGGGCCAAAGGCAGCCCCGCCGGUCCUUCUUUGAAUCCUUCAUCCGGACCCUCAUCAUCACGUGUGUGGCCCUGGCUGUGGUCCUGUCCUCGGUCUCCAUUUGUGAUGGGCACUGGCUCCUGGCUGAGGACCGCCUCUUCGGGCUCUGGCACUUCUGCACCACCACCAACCAGAGUGUGCCGAUCUGCUUCAGAGACCUGGGCCAGGCCCAUGUGCCCGGGCUGGCCAUGGGCAUGGGCCUGGUGCGCAGCGUGGGCGCCUUGGCCGUGGUGGCCGCCAUUUUUGGCCUGGAGUUCCUCAUGGUGUCCCAGUUGUGCGAGGACAAACACUCACAGUGCAAGUGGGUCAUGGGUUCCAUCCUCCUCCUGGUCUCUUUCGUCCUCUCCUCCGGCGGGCUCCUGGGUUUUGUGAUCCUCCUCAGGAACCAAGUCACACUCAUCGGCUUCACCCUAAUGUUUUGGUGCGAAUUCACUGCCUCCUUCCUCCUCUUCCUGAACGCCAUCAGCGGCCUUCACAUCAACAGCAUCACCCAUCCCUGGGAAUGACCAUGGAAAUUUUAGGCCCCCUCCAGGGACAUCAGAUUCUACAAGAAAAUAUGGUCGAAAUGGGACUUUUCCAGCAUGUGGCCUCUGGUGGGGCUGGGUUAGACAAG
rnacentral:sRNA from 1 species